rnacentral:rRNA from 1 species
CACGUGGGAUCCGAGCGUUAUCCGGAUUUACUGGGCGUAAAGCGCGUGCAGGUGGUUCGGUUAGUUGGAUGUGAAAUCUCCUGGCUCAACCGGGAGUGGCCGUUCAAUACUGCCGGACUAGAGGGCGAUAGAGGGAGGUGGAAUUCCCGGUGUAGUGGUGAAAUGCGUAGAUAUCGGGAGGAACACCAGAGGCGAAAGCGGCCUCCUGGAUCGACCCUGACGCUAAGACGCGAAAGCUAGGGGAGCGAACGGGAUUAGAAACCCCGGUAGUCCUAGCUGUAAACGAUGUGAACUUGGUGUUGGUGGCGUAAGAACCAUCAGUGCCGAAGCUAACGCGAUAAGUUCACCGCCUGGGGACUACGACCGCAAGGUUAAA